AUAUAUGUUAAGUGGAAAAGGAUGUGGCGUUGCCCAGACAACUAGGAUGUUGGCUUAGAAGCAGCCAUCAUUUAAAGAGUGCGUAAUAGCUCACUAGUCGAGUGACACUGCGCCGAAAAUGUACCGGGGCUAAACAUAUUACCGAAGCUGUGGAUUGUCCUUUGGACAAUGGUAGGAGAGCGUUCUAAGGGCGUUGAAGCAUGAUCGUAAGGACAUGUGGAGCGCUUAGAAGUGAGAAUGCCGGUGUGAGUAGCGAAAGACGGGUGAGAAUCCCGUCCACCGAUUGACUAAGGUUUCCAGAGGAAGGCUCGUCCGCUCUGGGUUAGUCGGGUCCUAAGCUGAGGCCGACAGGCGUAGGCGAUGGAUAACAGGUUGAUAUUCCUGUACCACCUAUAAUCGUUUUAAUCGAUGGGGGGACGCAGUAGGAUAGGCGAAGCGUGCGAUUGGAUUGCACGUCUAAGCAGUAAGGCUGAGUAUUAGGCAAAUCCGGUACUCGUUAAGGCUGAGCUGUGAUGGGGAGAAGACAUUGUGUCUUCGAGUCGUUGAUUUCACACUGCCGAGAAAAGCCUCUAGAUAGAAAAUAGGUGCCCGUACCGCAAACCGACACAGGUAGUCAAGAUGAGAAUUCUAAGGUGAGCGAGCGAACUCUCGUUAAGGAACUCGGCAAAAUGACCCCGUAACUUCGGGAGAAGGGGUGCUCUUUAGGGUUAACGCCCAGAAGAGCCGCAGUGAAUAGGCCCAAGCGACUGUUUAUCAAAAACACAGGUCUCUGCUAAACCGUAAGGUGAUGUAUAGGGGCUGACGCCUGCCCGGUGCUGGAAGGUUAAGAGGAGUGGUUAGCUUCUGCGAAGCUACGAAUCGAAGCCCCAGUAAACGGCGGCCGUAACUAUAACGGUCCUAAGGUAGCGAAAUUCCUUGUCGGGUAAGUUCCGACCCGCACGAAAGGCGUAACGAUUUGGGCACUGUCUCAACGAGAGACUCGGUGAAAUCAUAGUACCUGUGAAGAUGCAGGUUACCCGCGACAGGACGGAAAGACCCCGUGGAGCUUUACUGUAGCCUGAUAUUGAAAUUCGGCACAGCUUGUACAGGAUAGGUAGGAGCCUUUGAAACGUGAGCGCUAGCUUACGUGGAGGCGCUGGUGGGAUACUACCCUAGCUGUGUUGGCUUUCUAACCCGCACCACUUAUCGUGGUGGGAGACAGUGUCAGGCGGGCAGUUUGACUGGGGCGGUCGCCUCCUAAAAGGUAACGGAGGCGCUCAAAGGUUCCCUCAGAAUGGUUGGAAAUCAUUCAUAGAGUGUAAAGGCAUAAGGGAGCUUGACUGCGAGACCUACAAGUCGAGCAGGGUCGAAAGACGGACUUAGUGAUCCGGUGGUUCCGCAUGGAAGGGCCAUCGCUCAACGGAUAAAAGCUACCCCGGGGAUAACAGGCUUAUCUCCCCCAAGAGUUCACAUCGACGGGGAGGUUUGGCACCUCGAUGUCGGCUCAUCGCAUCCUGGGGCUGUAGUCGGUCCCAAGGGUUGGGCUGUUCGCCCAUUAAAGCGGUACGCGAGCUGGGUUCAGAACGUCGUGAGACAGUUCGGUCCCUAUCCGUCGUGGGCGUAGGAAAUUUGAGAGGAGCUGUCCUUAGUACGAGAGGACCGGGAUGGACAUACCUCUGGUGUACCAGUUGUCGUGCCAACGGCAUAGCUGGGUAGCUAUGUGUGGACGGGAUAAGUGCUGAAAGCAUCUAAGCAUGAAGCCCCCCUCAAGAUGAGAUUUCCCAACUUCGGUUAUAAGAUCCCUCAAAGAUGAUGAGGUUAAUAGGUUCGAGGUGGAAGCAUGGUGACAUGUGGAGCUGACGAAUACUAAUCGAUCGAAGACUUAAUCAAAA
rnacentral:rRNA from 1 species